rnacentral:rRNA from 1 species
UCGCAUAUCAAAAAGCGGAGGAAAAGAAACUAACAAGGAUUCCCCUAGUAACGGCGAGUGAAGCGGGAAGAGCUCAAAUUUGAAAGCUGGCACCUUCGGUGUCCGCGUUGUAAUCUCGAGAAGUGUUUUCCGUGCUGGACCAUGUACAAGUUCCUUGGAAUAGGACGUCAUAGAGGGUGAAAAUCCCGUACUUGACAUGGACGCCCAGUGCUUUGUGAUACACUCUCCACGAGUCGAGUUGUUUGGGAAUGCAGCUCAAAAUGGGUGGUAAAUUCCAUCUAAAGCUAAAUAUUGGGGAGAGACCGAUAGCGAACAAGUACCGUGAGGGAAAGAUGAAAAGCACUUUGGAAAGAGAGUUAAACAGUACGUGAAAUUGUCGAAAGGGAAGCGCUUGAAGUUAGACAUGCUUGCCGGGAUUCAGCCUUGCUUUUGCUUGGUGCAUUUCCCGGUGUGCAGGCCAGCAUCAGUUUUGUUUGCCGGAUAAGGGUGAGAGGAAUGUGGCCCCUCGGGGUGUUAUAGCCUCUCACUGGAUACGGCGGAUGGGACUGAGGACCGCAGUGUGCCUUUAUGGCGGGCCUUCGGGCACCUUCACACUUAGGAUGCUGGCGUAAUGGCUUUAAGCGACCCGUCUUGAAACACGGACCCA